CAGAUUGUGUUGCGUGCAGUGUUACCAGAAGCAGAGUGCAGGGAGUGGCCAGCCGCUAGCCAGACUCAGAGUCAGGUCAGGUGAAGCAGCUAGUCUGGCCUCGACUCGCUUAGCACACCCGCGGCCGCACACCACAGCAAACCCAAGGCUGGUAACACUGGUGGUCUUGGCUGGCAACACUGACACACACGCAAAACUCCUGUAGUGUUCUGUACAAGGUUACGCAGACACAGACCACAGCAAACCCAAGGCUGUGGUCUGUGCGUAACCUUGUACAGAACACUACAGGAGUUUUGCGUGUGUAUCAGUGUUGCCAGUCAAGACCAAUCAGUGUUACCAGAUGAAAGAGGAGAUGCGUAGAGAGACGGUAAGUGGAUGAAAGUCUCCUCCAUCUUCUCUCUCAUCGCUCCGCCAUCCACGCUCGCCCUGCCACGACCCUCCACCGACCACCAGGAGGAAACACGAGUCGUCCAGGUCGUCUUAACAAGCUGGCGAGCGGGCAGGGUGUGGACUGCUGGCGACCUGCGUGACAAAGGAAGGCUUGGGUGAUGGUGAGUGUGUGCGUGUGUAAGGGAUGCCAGAAGAGUAACUGCUUUCAACUUCUGGCAGUCCGAAAUAUGGUGAUUGAAGUGUCCAGUCCCCAAGCUGGCAUGGUGCUCAGUGUUGUGCUGGACUCUCUGGUAGUAUUUCACCUUGCUUUUGGGACCAUUGGCCAACACUAUGCCAGACUUGAGGAGGAUGGUGGUGGAAUGUGAGGCGCCCAUCAUUAUUAUGGCCUCCAGUAAGACCGAGUGAGGCACGGCCAGCAGUCCCACAUGGGGUGGCCCAGAUAAAGCCACACACACACUGUUUUAUUACAUGGAAAAUUCUGUCAGAACUGCAACGUAACAUGAGACGGAGACAUGAUAAAUAGUGUGAACUGGUCUUAAUACCCAUAGAUAAAGAUUAAUAUGGAUUCUACAGUAUCCCACAACCUAAGUCAUAAGUGUGUGUGCUACUAGGUGAACAACCGGAAUGAGGAACGGCAUUUUGGCACUGUCAGUGUGUCCUUUGUGAAGAUGCAGCAGGUGUGUCUGAACUUCAUGGCAUGGACUCUCAAGAUUAAGUACACCAGUGAUGCUGGCACCACUGUUUCAAUUUCAGUGCAACUGAAGCUCAAGAUGUAGCCUUUGCCACAUGGCAGCCUCUCUCCUACAGCCAGUCCUUACAAGGACCCCCACACCCCUCCACCACAGCCCUCGCCCUUCUCUCCCCCCAUCCUUCUCAUGGCCUGCACUGUGCCCUCCCCAUCCCCUAAACAGGCACACCUCAACUUUGUGGAGAGCUGUCAGUGGCCUCAGCCAUAGUGUGUGCCGCCAAGCAGUGCCUGGUGCCGGGCUCUCAUUGCCUGACCAUCAGCUCCAAGUGAGAGAAGGAAGCAGAAAACAUGAAUGACAAGCAGUAGAUCAACCAGCUGUCUCUCUCUGCUGCCCAGGAGGAUGUUACCUCCAGGAGUGUGACUGGGCUGUCCCCAGCCCUGCACUUCCCCAGCCUGGCAUCUACCAAGACCUGCAGCCCCAUGCCCAGGACCACCACUGUUUUCCAGGCUGUAUAACAUCACCCACAGGACUGAUGGGGAUCAGCGGCUGAGCAUUGCCAAGCUGAAGGAGGUGUUUGAGCAGUGUUGCCCUGUGGAGGGUCGUCCCGUCAGCAGGCUGAGCUGCAGUGCUGACAGCAUGACGGCCUGGGUUGCCCUCAGCAUCCACCCUGCUGUGGAUGUGGGGCACAAGAUCAACUGGAAGAGCAGCCUUGGAACAGGGGAGACCCUGCCACCAAGAAGGCAUACAAAGCCAUUGAGAAGUACCACCAGCAGAGGGCAUUCUGUUUCAUGCUGUCACAACUAGGUCAUAUAGUACUACUAUGACAGGUCAGGUUAUAUUAGGUCAGGUCAGGCUAGGUUAGAUCAGCUUAGGUUAAGAUUGCCUUCUUUUAAGCUACUAUUAUGUCAGGUCAGGUUAGAUUAGGUCAGGUGAGGCUAGGUUAGGCUAGGUCAGAUCAGGUUAGGUUAAGAUUGCCUUCUUUUAAGCUAUCACCUCCAUUCAAGUACCCAAAAAUUAUCACUUUCAUGUUCCCCACCUACAAACCCCACUUCUUGCCAAGUCCCGAAGAUGGUAAGGGGAUAAGGGGAGAAGAGGCAAAAUGAAGUAGUUCCGACAUGUGGCUUUAUCAUGUUCCCUAUCAUUUAUAACAAUACACACACACACACACACACACACACACACACACACACACACACACACACACACACACACACACACACAACAGCAGCAGCAGAGUAGGUAGGGAUGAGUUUGGGAAGAGGUUGGGUGGACAGGGAAAGAUAAAGCAAUAGAAAAUUUUUGGUUAUAUUUUAUUUUAUGCUGGAUAUGUACAAACUGUAUUAAUAGGUUAAUAUAUAUCUUUACAAGUAUUCA